rnacentral:lncRNA from 1 species
GUAUAUUUUUAUCAUAAAAGUUUCUGAUCGAACAGUUUAAUUCAGGUUAGAAUGAAACUUUUUUUCAUAGUUUCUUACUUCCAUGCAUGUUACAGUGUGCAUUUAUUUUGGAUAUGAAAAUGUUCAAUAGUUUGUUAAUACUUCUACUUGUUAGAAUCAAAAGUUUAUUUGUUAAGAUUUGAACCUUUUGUUAUUCUUGUUUGCAACUGUUUCCAAUUUUAUAUAUUUUGAAACAACUACCGGUAUAUUGAUGCUUCAUCCUCUUAUCCUGAUGUAAAGAUGAACACAUAGGGCUACAUGAAUUUCUACUACCAAAUAAAUAGCUAGCCUAGCUGCUAAAUGAUUCUAAAUAGGAUAGAAAAAAUCAUGUUAUCUAAAGAAUUCAACAUAGCGUGAGAUAGGUGAUUAUUAAUGGUGUCAUUUGGAUAGCCUAGCUACAUAGACUAUCAUUCAACAUAGAUAGAUAUCGAAGACAUAGCAGCUAUACUAGCUGCUACAAUAUUGAAUGCAAACCAGAUUGGUUGAGAUUAUUUAUGACAUGCAGGUUUCUCUAGGUUUAACCAGGUCAUAAACAAACUAUAUCAUUGAUUCCUAGUUGAAAUGAAUUGUGUUAUCAUGUUGUAACCCAUGUGAUUGCCAUUUUGUAUUAUACAAAUUAUCAUUGUGACUAUCAUAUAAUUCAUACUAGCUUGCUGUACACUAAAUUCAUAUUUAUUUGGUGUACACUUGAUUCAUACUACUACAAUAUUAUACAGCUAUUGAUUAGCCUGCUGUUCACUAGUCCAAAGAAUUAUGACGUCUUGAAAGGCUAUUAUAUUUUUCAAAACUAAAAUAUAUAUAAUAGCCUUUGAAGACAUCAUAAUUGUCAAUUAUUUGUACUAGCUGUUCACUUGAUUCAAACUAGGUUGUUGUACACUUUAUUCAUGCUUACUUAAUGUACACUUGGUUCAUACUAUAUGGUUGUACACGUACUUGAUUCAUACUAGCUUGCUUGGUGUACACUUGGUUCAUACUAUAUUGUUGUACACAUAGUUGAUUCGUACUAGAAUAUGAAAAUAUGAAAGGACAAAUGUACCCACACAAGAGACAGAUUAUUCGGUCUAGAUUCGUACUAGCUUGCAUGGUGUACACUUGGUUCAUACUUUAUUGUUGUACACAUACUUGAUUCAUACUAGCUUGCUGUACACUUGAUUCAAACUAUCUUGGUGUACACUUGAUUCAUACUAGCUUAGUGUACACUUGAUUCAUACUAGCUUAGUGUACACUUGAUUCAUACUAGCUUGCAUGGUGUACACUUGGUUCAUACUUUAAUUUUGUACACAUACUUGAUUCAUACUAGCUCUUGUACACUUGAUUCAUACUAGCUUGCUGUACACUUGAUUCAAACUAUCUUGGUGUACUCUUGAUUCAAACUAUCUUGGUGUACACUUGAUUCAUACUAGCUUAGUGUACACUUGAUUCAUACUAGCUUAGUGUACACUUUAUUCAUACUAGGUUAGUGUACACUUGAUUCAUACUAGCUUGCAUGGUGUACACUUGGUUCAUACUUUAAAUUUGUACACAUACUUGAUUCAUACUAGCUUGCUGUACACUUGAUUCAAACUAUCUUGGUGUACACUUGAUUCAAAAUAUCUUGGUGUACACUUGAUUCAUACUAUAUUUUUGUACACUUGAUUCAUACUAGCUUAGUGUACACUUGAUUUAUACUAUCUUAGUGUAACACUUAAUUAUACUACAACAAAAUUAUACACAUUUUAAUUAACUUGCAGUACACUUGAUUUAUACUAGGUUGAGUUUUUUCACUGUGAAAUCAUGAUGAUUCAUUGCAAACAGUUAAAUGUAAGCAUUUAUUGAGGCCUAGAAUUAUAACAUCAAGUUUUAUUUGUUGAUUGUUAUAUAUUGUUGAUUUGUCUGUUAUAUUUGCUGAACUGAAUCAAUCAGUAAUACGAAACAUUUUCUUUUAUACCAAUUUAUUUUUACAAGUUUUAGUGAUUACACGGUUGUGCAUUUAAUUAAUGUGAUAAAUAUAGUUUUAU